rnacentral:rRNA from 1 species
GUGGGGAAUAUUCCGCAAUGGACGAAAGUCUGACGGAGCAACGCCGCGUGAGUGAUGAAGGUUUUCGGACUGUAAAGCUCUGUUGUUUGGGACGAAAGUGCCUGUUGCGAACAGUUACGGGUAUUGACGGUACUAAACGAGGAAGCCACGGCUAACUACGUGCCAGCAGCCGCGGUAAUACGUAGGUGGCAAGCGUUGUCCGGAAUUAUUGGGCGUAAAGAGCAUGUAGGCGGGAAUCUAAGUCUGUUGUUAAAAUGCGGGGCUCAACCCCGUAUUGCGAUGGAAACUGGGUUUCUUGAGUGCAGGAGAGGAAAGGGGAAUUCCCAGUGUAGCGGUGAAAUGCGUAGAUAUUGGGAGGAACACCAGUGGCGAAGGCGCCUUUCUGGACUGUGUCUGACGCUGAGAUGCGAAAGCCAGGGUAGCGAACGGGAUUAGAUACCCGAGUAGUCC